rnacentral:misc_RNA from 1 species
AAGUCGUAACAAGGUUUCCGUAGGUGAACCUGCGGAAGGAUCAUUAACGAAUUGAGAGGCCGAAAGGUCUUGAAUUCCACACCAAUGUUUUAAGCGUUUUUGAUUUGUCUUUGGGAGCGAAAGAAAUUUUGCUUUUUAGGCUGUCAAAACGUGAAACCUCAAUUCAUACUUUUUUGUAUGAAUGUAUAUAUAUAUAUAUACAAAAAAACAAAAAUUAAAACUUUCAACAACGGAUCUCUUGGUUCUG